UAGAAUUGACGGGGAGCACCACAACAGGUGGAGCCUGCGGUUUAAUCGGACUCAACGCCGGGAAUCUCACCGGAUAAGACAGCUGGAUGAUAGCCGGGCUGAAGACUCUGCUUGACUAGCUGAGAGGAGGUGCAUGGCCGUCGUCAGUUCGUACUGUGAAGCAUCCUGUUAAGUCAGGCAACGAGCGAGACCCACGUCCACAGUUGCCAGCAUACCCUCCGGGGUGAUGGGUACACUGUGGAGACCGCCGCUGCUAAAGCGGAGGAAGGAAUGGGCAACGGUAGGUCAGUAUGCCCCGAAUCUCCCGGGCUACACGCGGACUACAAUGGUUGGUACAAUGGGCAUCUACCCCGAAAGGGGAAGGAAAUCUCUUAAAGCCAAUCGUAGUUCGGAUUGAGGGCUGCAACUCGCCCUCAUGAAGCUGGAAUCCGUAGUAAUCGCGUUUCAACAGAACGCGGUGAAUACGUCCCUGCUCCUU
rnacentral:rRNA from 1 species